CACACAGUCAAAUUCAAAAAUAAUACUCUCCCGCAACGGAAUAACACCAUCAACCGUUGUUGGGUUUCGAUGUCGUUAUGCGCUAACAUCAUUAACACUGAAAAUCAGGAAGCUACCAGCUAACAAAUUGGCCUGAAUUCUUGAAUUGAUUACCUAGAUUCCCCAAACUAUUUGAAAAGCAGAUUGGGUACUUAGUUACCAUCGACAAAUUGUACUUGGAAGAGAUCCCAUGCUGUAUAGCAUUCCGUUAUCCCACAAUUUAUCGGUUCACCCCUCCACUUAUGUGCCGUUAAAUGAUAUUGAACAUCCUCGAUGAAUUAAUUCAUCUAGGAUAAUAUUGACUUAUAUGUAAUGUUUAAACGUGUGAAACAUGCUCCGAUUUAGGUCAGAAGCUGUUAAUAUAUGAUAACUUAUCGAAGGACCACAAAUCCCAUGAGCUUCAUUUUCUGUGUUACGCACUUUCCCUUCUCUCCACAUGCGUGCCUCGACUUUUUCCGAGAAAUAUUCCUCCGGCACAUAUUAAAUAGCCCUCUGAAAUACUAUUAGCUACCUCCAUAUUUAUGCUUUCCCUGAGUCUCCGAUGAUAUGCCCAGUCCGUAUUGCAGAUGACGUGCCAUUCUUUACCCUGUUCCACACAAAUGCAUUGUCGGCGAACCUCAAGCGCAUAGACACCUCUCACAGCAUCGUACCGGCGUGGUACGAAGCAGCAUACUUCGCCCAAGAUUCCUUGGGUGCAAGCUCAUGAUUAACUACGAACAGGUGGGACAUCUUCUUGUAAGAGGAGGUCGGAGUGGUUGCAUCUACUUCCCAUAAACCUCCUUUAUUUGUCCGUUCCUGGAUUCUAUUUCAAAACUUCAAUUAAAUCAAUACAGCAACGAUCUACUUAUACUACAUAUGACCCUCCCUAAUCAAUAUAUUUUUUGAGUGCACGUUCAUCCCUCAUUGGAUAGCUACCUGUGCACCAAUUUUCGUUCCUUAUAUCUUUUUUUCCAAAUUCCUAAUUCAUGCUUCCCACCUACUCUACCUCAAUAACAGUUAAGUAUUUGUUUUUCCCUUUUCGUUGAGUGUGCUAAUCCGUAUUGCUCCUCUAAUGAACAUUUACUCGCAACCCCUCUUUGCUUAGAUAUAGCUCGUUUCACGGCUGGUCAAUUUCCCUUUUCGUGACCCUGUGUUUGCCGGACUUAGAUAAACAAGCUACCUGCAGUUUGCCGAACAUCAGUGCAUGCAUCCAAACCAUGCCGAAGUUUAUCGGGUCGGUAGCACUGACCAUAUGUUUGGUCAGUGCUGGCUUCUAAUGCAGACCAAUUGUCGUUGGGCGGUUGCGGGCCGGUCCGACGCUACCUGCUUUUACAUUUCCUAUUUAGUAGUUAUCUAUGAUCAAUAAACGUGAUG
rnacentral:sRNA from 1 species